AUGCUCUCUGUUCGUCUGAAAAGCAUUCUACCCGAGAUUAUUUCCCCUACUCAGAGUGCCUUUGUCCCGGGUAGAAUGAUUACUGAUAAUAUUCUAGUGGCUUAUGAGUGCAUUCACAAAAUUAAGAAUACAAAAAACAGUCAGACAGGCUUAUGUGCAGUUAAGUUGGAUAUGCAUAAGGCAUACGAUAGAGUAGAAUGGAUUUUCCUUAAGAAUAUGAUGCAUAAGUUGGGCUUUGAUAAUCGGUGGAUAGAACUCAUUAUGGAGUGUGUGAGUUCAGUAAGAUAUAGGGUGCGGUACAAUUCUCAAGAAAUAGACACG
rnacentral:rRNA from 1 species